UGAGUGAAUUAGGUAGUUUCGUGUUGUUGGGCCUGGCUUUCUGAACACAACGACAUCCAACCACCUGAUUCACGGCAGUU
ensembl:miRNA Mir196c microRNA mir-196c